UGAGCAAUCUGCCCUUCUCAUCGGAAUAAGCGUUGGAAACGACGUCUAAUGCCGAAUACGACCUCCUUUCGCAUGAUCGGAGGUGGAAAGCUCCGGCGGAGAAGGAUGAGCUCGCGGCCUAUCAGCUAGUUGGUGUGGGUAACGGCCCACCAAGGCGACGACGGGUAGCCGGCCUGAGAGGGUGACCGGCCACACUGGGACUGAGACACGGCCCAGACUCCUACGGGAGG
rnacentral:rRNA from 1 species